UUGCUUCAGCAGGACAUAUUUUAAAAUUGUAGUGAUACAGAGAAGAUUAGCAUGGCCCUUGUGGAAGAAUAACAUUCAAAUUCAUGAAGCAUUCCAUGUUUAA
rnacentral:snRNA from 1 species